UGCACACAUGAAUAGGCAUACCCUACAGUGAACUAGUUACUCUUCAAGAGUGUCUUUCCCCUAAAGGUUAAUGCUGGAUCAGAUUAAAGCUUUCUUAGCCUGCGGCCAAUGGUCUUGCUGUGAAAAAGUGUGAAAUUUAAGUAGCCUUGACAAGAUAGCUAAGGUUUACCAAGUGGUUAUAAAACAACUCAUUUAACUAGAGUCUGCCUAUUGAUUUCCUACGCCCACGCAUUCAUGUCAGUAUAAGGGAAUAUUUAAAUGUUAUAACAGCUUUUUUUUCAUCAUUAAAUUUACAGUUGUUUGUGGCUGAAUUUCUCUCUGAUUGUGGGAAUUUCUUUGUGAAUAUAAUUUUUUUCUCUGGACUGCCAGCUAUAAACCUUUAUUCAUUAAACAGGCGUCUGUUGAUGUUGCGCUCCAGUCUGACAGGUCAGUCUGUACAAGGUGACGAUCAAUUAUAACUACAUAGCUCUGAUGGAGAAACGAUGAUUCACUUCCUGUGCCCACCAGCCACCUCAGACAAACUUGUCAUGUAAUUGUGCAUCUUUAAUGUCACGGCUUGGAGAGAAUUCUUCAGAGGAUUAAGAGUGGUUCGUUAUGUGGAGGAUUUCCUCAGGCAACCUGAAGAUUUCUACCAAACAUCUGCUAUACACAGAGCAAUA